AGCCAGACUCCUACGGGAGGCAGCAGUGGGGAAUAUUGGGCAAUGGGCGCAAGCCUGACCCAGCAACGCCGCGUGAAGGAAGAAGGCUUUCGGGUUGUAAACUUCUUUUCUGAGGGACGAAGCAAGUGACGGUACCUUAGGAAUAAGCCUCGGCUAACUACGUGCCAGCAGCCGCGGCAAUACGUAGGAGGCAAGCGUUAUCCGGAAUGACUGGGCGUAAAGGGUGCGUAGGUGGUUCAGCAAGUUAGUAGCGUAACUCCGGGGCUCAACCUCGGCACUACUACUAAAACUGUUGGACUUGAGUGCAGGAGGGGCAACUGGAAUUCCUAGUGUAGCGGUGGAAUGCGUAGAUAUUAGGAGGAACACCAGUGGCGAAGGCGAGUUGCUGGACUGUAACUGACACUGAGGCACGAAAGCGUGGGGAGCAAACAGGAUUAGAUACCCUCGUAUAC
rnacentral:rRNA from 1 species